UGCAAGUCGAGCGGACCGACGGGAGCUUGCUCCCUUAGGUCAGCGGCGGACGGGUGAGUAACACGUGGGUAACCUGCCUGUAAGACUGGGAUAACUCCGGGAAACCGGGGCUAAUACCGGAUGCUUGAUUGAACCGCAUGGUUCAAUCAUGAAAGGCGGCUUCGGCUGCCGUUUACAGAUGGACCCGCGGCGCAUUAGCUAGUUGGUGAGGUAACGGCUCACCAAGGCGACGAUGCGUAGCCGACCUGAGAGGGUGAUCGGCCACACUGGGACUGAGACACGGCCCAGACUCCUACGGGAGGCAGCAGUAGGGAAUCUUCCGCAAUGGACGAGAGUCUGACGGAGCAACGCCGCGUGAGUGAUGAAGGUUUUCGGAUCGUACAGCUCUGUUGUUAGGGAAGAACAAGUACCGUUCGAAUAGGGCGGUACCUUGACGGUACCUAACCAGAGAGCCACGGCUAACUACGUGCCAGCAGCCGCGGUAAUACGUAUGUGGCAAGCGUUGUCCGGAAUUA
rnacentral:rRNA from 1 species